UUUUUUAAGGGUUUUGUAAAAAAAAACUUUCAAAGUCGUCCAUUUUGCAACUUUAUCCUUCAUGUCCAAAAAAUGGAAAAUAAUCAUAUAAAGUCUAAAAUAAUACGCAAUAUAGCUAUUUUUUGUUAUUGUCAAAUUUUAAAAUUUUGAUAAAUAAUAUAUCAAGUCGAAGCCGAUGAGGAGUUCAACUAUAUCUUUAAAUUUUCAAAGAAAAAUGUAUGUGAUCGUGAAAACGUUUACAAUAUAUAUGCAGUUGCAAAAAUAACUAUAUCUACAUAUACAUUUUUGCAGCCAUUUUGUGAAAUUCAUCAUGGAGUUGUGACUUAAUUUCUACUCAAUGCCAUUAGCAUUAAAU
rnacentral:sRNA from 1 species